GGUGGCUCAGUGGUAGAGCGCUUGCCUUGCAAUACAUGAGACCCUGGGUUCGAUUCCCCAGCACCA
rfam:Dipodomys ordii contig_46421, whole genome shotgun sequence.